rnacentral:rRNA from 1 species
GAGUUUGAUCCUGGCUCAGAGCGAACGCUGGCGGCAGGCUUAACACAUGCAAGUCGAACGCAUCCUUGGGGAUGAGUGGCAGACGGGUGAGUAACACGUGGGAACGUACCCUUUGGUUCGGAAUAACUCAGGGAAACUUGAGCUAAUACCGGAUACCCCUUUUGGGGAAAGGUUACUGCCGAAGGAUCGGCCCGCGUCUGAUUAACUAGUGGUGGGGUAACGGCCUACCAAGGCGACCAAUAAGUAGCUGUCUGAAAGAGAAUACCCCCUGGACUAAACACGGCCCAGACUCCUACGGGAGGCAGCAGUGGGGAAUAUUGGACAAUGGGCGCAAGCCUGAUCCAGCCAUGCCCGCGUGAGUGAUGAAGGCCUUAAGGUUGUAAAGCUCUUUUGUCCCGGACGAUAAUGACGGUCCGGAAGAAUAAACCCCGGUAACUUUGUGCCACAGGCCGGGGGAAUACCAAAGGGGCUAACGUGCUUGGAACACUGGCUAAAGGGGCCGUAAGCCGGCUUUAAUCGGGGGGAACCUUGGUUAACCCAAAAUUGGCUAGGGGGGUAACCCAAAAGUUGGGGAACUCCAAUUAAGGGGAAUUUAAAAUUUCAAAAACCGGGGGAAGGGGCCCCUUGGUCCCAA